rnacentral:tRNA from 3 species
GCCCAGGUGGUGGAAUUGGUAGACACGCUACUUUGAGGGGGUAGUUCGCGAGAGUGCGGGUUCGAGUCCCGCCCUGGGCACCA